AACUUUUCGAAUCCGUGCUGAGAUUUCGUCAGACACCGACCCAUUAGGGCUGAUCAAUCUUCCAAGAUAAGUGAAGUU
rfam:Schistosoma curassoni strain Dakar, Senegal genome assembly, scaffold: SCTD_scaffold0000350